rnacentral:rRNA from 1 species
GAUGAACGCUGGCGGCGUGCCUAAUACAUGCAAGUCGAGCGAAUGGAUUAAGAGCUUGCUCUUAUGAAGUUAGCGGCGGACGGGUGAGUAACACGUGGGUAACCUGCCCAUAAGACUGGGAUAACUCCGGGAAACCGGGGCUAAUACCGGAUAACAUUUUGAACCGCAUGGUUCGAAAUUGAAAGGCGGCUUCGGCUGUCACUUAUGGAUGGACCCGCGUCGCAUUAGCUAGUUGGUGAGGUAACGGCUCACCAAGGCAACGAUGCGUAGCCGACCUGAGAGGGUAGUCGGCCACACUGGGACGGAGACACGGCCCAGCCUCCGACGGGAGGAAGCAGUAGGGAAUCUUCCGCAAUGGACGAAGGUCUGACGGAGCAACGCCGCGUGAGUGAUGAAGGCUUUCGGGUCGUAAAACUCUGUUGUUAGGGAAGAACAAGUGCUAGUUGAAUAAGCUGGCACCUUGACGGUACCUAACCAGAAAGCCACGGCUAACUACGUGCCAGCCGCCGCCGUAA